GUGUCAGCCGCCGCGGUAAUACGAGAGGCCCAAACGUUAUUCGGAAUUACUGGGCUUAAAGAGUUCGUAGGCGGCGCAGAAAGUGGGGUGUGAAAGCCCUCGGCUCAACCGAGGAAUUGCGCUCCAAACUACUGUGCUUGAGGAAGCUAGAGGUGAGCAGAACUGAUGGUGGAGCGGUGAAAUGCGUUGAUAUCAUCAGGAAUACCGGAGGCGAAGGCGGCUCACUGGGGCUUUUCUGACGCUGAGGAACGAAAGCCAGGGUAGCGAACGGGAUUAGAUACCCCAGUAGUCC
rnacentral:rRNA from 1 species